CUCUGAGAGGGCAGCUGGAGCAGAGGAUUCAGGGGAACAAUUGUCUGCGACUGCAGCUGCAAUAACAGCUGGAUAGCAGUGCUGGCAAAGCCAGCCUCAGCCCCUCCUCCGUUAACCAGAACUUCCCAGCCAGCGCUGACCCUGGAAACAAGCAGCUGCUCCUCCAAGGUGCUAGGCAGCAAAGGCAUUUGUGAGCUUCGGAGCAGCACCAGUGCCCUGCACCAUGCCC
rnacentral:lncRNA from 1 species